CUCCCUCCCUCCCUCCCUCCGCCUCUUUGUCCUGCUUACAUGUUUAAUAGUGGAGACGGCUGGCUCAUCGCAGCUGUCCAGACAACACUUUGUGCUGCUGUGGGAACAAAUAAAGACAGAAAAAAAGAGACAGAAUGACUUCCUGUCCGUUCAGUCCGGACUCAUCAGCAGUGCAGCAACAUGAGAGUGGAACCAAGAGGGGAACUCCUGUACAGUGAAUCUGAGAGACUCAACCAUAUCUCAAACCAACCAGCAAAGAAAAACCCUCAAACAUGAAGAUCCAACACCUGCAGUUCCUCUGCCAUCCAGCAGAGGCUCCAGCACAACAUGAGGCAGCUCGUGUAUCGGAUGUUACCAAACGAA